rnacentral:lncRNA from 1 species
AGACGACCUCACUGGAUGUGCCCUCCUUUGUUCCCAUAACUGGCUGGCUACUGGAGAAGUGUCCCUCUUCCAACCAGGCCUAUGGUUUUUUUCAGGGCAUCAACAUCGUGUGCGGAGGGGAUGAGCAAGAAGACAAUGGAGCGUUCCCGCUGCUCGCUUGCUCUGCAGUGAGAUGCAGUGUGUUGUUCUGGGAGGACGGCAGUAAUGCAAAAACCAAUCCAGCACAUUCCAUGCAUGGGAAAGGCAUUGAAAAUACUUACAAUAGCGAAUUUUUCCUUUAAGCCUAAGCGUAAGUGACUUUUCUUUGGGCGACCGCUCCCAUUGGACGGCUUCAGGACCGCCUUCUGCAGUCAUUCAGGUGUGAAAUGUGCCUUUAAUAUGCCUUUCUUUCCCACUAUUAUGCAAAGUAGUUAUUUUCGGCUAAGAUCAAAUAUGAAAAACUACAAUGUAAGGAAAACUUGAAAAGUGUACGUAUAAAAGGAGUGCAUAUGCCUUAUUUUGUAAUGUUGAGCUCUAAGCUGAGUCAUUGAUCUAGAAGUUGGGGUACAAAGUUACGUUUAUUCAGACGAUUUGGCCAAGCCGGUUGGGGAGCAAAGUGCUGUCUGGGGCACAAUAAUAACAUUGGUGGAAGAGAGAUACCUGCUUCUGUCUCUCACUAUGCCCACAAUGGGUGAUGACACCAGGGAAGCUGCCCUCCUCUUAUGCUAACAGGCAAUGUUAGCAGAACAUGAAAACACACCAGAAGCGUCAAAGGGCCCGACCCCCGGAGACACAAAUCCUCUUUGUGUCCAGCUUAUCUCCAGCUGCUGCCAUGAUAAAUAGUCCAGCUCCAGGGAGCCUGGGGAAGCGCUACCCCACGGAACGAAGCACAGAGGGAAGCGAGCUUGAGGAAAUAUU